AUCUUGAAUUAACUUCAUAUUAAUUAUCGGUUUUACUCCACUGUUUUUUAUUUUGACGAUAAUUUAAUAUAUGAUUUCUUAAUACAUAUAUUCAUAAAAAUUUUGAAAUCAAAUUUGAUCUCUUGGUGAUUAAUCUAUCUCGGUUGUGAGUGUUGAAUAUGAUAGAUGGAUAUUUACUAAUCGACUAAAAUUUUGUCAAAAUUACUUUCAAUUGUGAGAUUGUCUAAUUAAGGAAGAGUUUUUGAAUUUUUUUUAAAAAAGAAAAACUCCUAUGUUUAAAAGAUGUGGAAAGAGUUACAUCCAAAAGGAGUGUGAAAACUACCACCACAUGUAGGAAAGAGCUACCACCCCGGUCGUCCGGCAAGUGUGUGAAGCUACCACAUGAAGAUUGAAUUGAAUAACCGAAAAGGUUGAGAAAAAAAAAUUGAAUAUUUUAAAAUUUUCGGAGUUGUAAGGUGUUAGUUUGAAAAAGAUGCUCAAAGAGCCACCCCCGGUAUCGUAUUAGUUAAAUCUUUAUUUUGAACGGAUUGUGACAAAUUGGUGUCAAUUUUGCCGAAUUUAUAAAAAUUAUUUUUCGUGAACCGUUACAUCUGACGAUUUUCAAACUUGAGGUCAUUUUUGAUAAUGAAAUUUUGGUGUUUCGAUGUAUUUUGAAAUCUUAUAAUAUUUUAUUUUUAUUAUAAUAAUUUUUGGAAUAAAAUUCUUAAUUUAUGUAAAACUAAUUUAAGAUUAAUGGAUUUUUAAUGUAAAUAUUUCGAAAUUUGGGGCUGUGUACCGGUACACAAACCCGUGUACCGGUACGGGUACUGUAGCAGCGGCUUAUAUAACCGGUUAUAGGGUCUUAUCUCUUCCAAAAUUCAAAACCAAAUCUCUUUCUCUCUGUUUCUACGACUCCCUGGGAUCCUCCUCCUCCAGAUCCACGAAGUUUCCUCCUAAAUCUGUAAGUAUUUUGUUGGGAUUUCAUGAUUUCAUCAUGUUUUUGUAUUUUUUCGAAAAAAUUCC
rnacentral:lncRNA from 1 species